AUUGAACGCUGGCGGCAUGCUUUACACAUGCAAGUCGAACGGCAGCGCGUGGCAACCUGGCGGCGAGUGGCGAACGGGUGAGUAAUACAUCGGAACGUACCCAGAAGUGGGGGAUAACGUAGCGAAAGUUACGCUAAUACCGCAUACGUUCUACGGAAGAAAGUGGGGGACCUUCGGGCCUCAUGCUUUUGGAGCGGCCGAUGUCUGAUUAGCUAGUUGGUGAGGUAAAGGCUCACCAAGGCGACGAUCAGUAGCUGGUCUGAGAGGACGACCAGCCACACUGGGACUGAGACACGGCCCAGACUCCUACGGGAGGCAGCAGUGGGGAAUUUUGGACAAUGGGCGCAAGCCUGAUCCAGCAAUGCCGCGUGAGUGAAGAAGGCCUUCGGGUUGUAAAGCUCUUUUGUCAGGGAAGAAACGGCUGAGGAUAAUACCUUCGGCUAAUGACGGUACCUGAAGAAUAAGCACCGGCUAACUACGUG
rnacentral:rRNA from 1 species